rnacentral:rRNA from 1 species
AACGAACGCUGGCGGCAGGCUUAACACAUGCAAGUCGAGCGCCACGCAAGGGGAGCGGCAGACGGGUGAGUAACACGUGGGGAUCUGCCCAAUGGUACGGAAUAGCUCCGGGAAACUGGAAAUAAUACCGUAUGUGCCCGCAAGGGGAAAGAUUUAUCGCCAUUGGAUGAACCCGCGUCGGAUUAGCUAGUUGGUGAGGUAAAGGCUCACCAAGGCGACGAUCCGUAGCUGGUCUGAGAGGAUGAUCAGCCACACUGGGACUGAGACACGGCCCAGACUCCUACGGGAGGCAGCAGUGGGGAAUAUUGGACAAUGGGCGCAAGCCUGAUCCAGCCAUGCCGCGAGAGUGAUGAAGGCCUUAGGGUUGUAAAGCUCUUUCGCCGACGAAGAUAAUGACGGUAGUCGGAGAAGAAGCCCCGGCUAACUUCGUGCCAGCCGCCGCAGUAACAC